CUUGACAUCCCGAUGCUAUUUCUAGAGAUAGAAAGUUACUUCGGUACAUCGGUGACAGGUGGUGGCAUGGUUGUCGUCAGCUCGUGUCGUGAGAUGUUGGGUUAAGUCCCGCAACGAGCGCAACCCCUAUUGUUAGUUGCCAUCAUUCAGUUGGGCACUCUAGCGAGACUGCCGGUAAUAAACCGGAGGAAGGUGGGGAUGACGUCAAAUCAUCAUGCCCCUUAUGACCUGGGCUACACACGUGCUACAAUGGUUGGUACAACGAGUUGCGAGUCGGUGACGGCGAGCUAAUCUCUUAAAGCCAAUCUCAGUUCGGAUUGUAGGCUGCAACUCGCCUACAUGAAGUCGGAAUCGCUAGUAAUCGCGGAUCAGCACGCCGCGGUGAAUACGUUCCCGGGCCUU
rnacentral:rRNA from 1 species